CAGGCGGAAACAUACAAAAACGGCUUACACGAGGGUAAACAAUAAUCAUGAGUGAAAGAUAGGAAACUAUGCAUUCAACUAGUACUAUGAUUCAUUUUGAUCACAUACAUGUAUCUAUUUACAUUCAUGAUUCUUUGCACUUCAUUACAUUACAUCGUUUGCAUCAUCUCUUUUUACAUCACAUUUACCUCAAAAUAAGCUUUACAUUCUUUCUCCUACAUCACUAGUCAUCAAAUGUAAAAGAUGAACAUAGGGCACUCUAUUAACAAAAUGUAAACCCAACUCAACUCUGGUGGCCUCUGUCUAAGGCGCGAUACCUUUACCGCGGUCGCUCGCCGGUUCGCUCGGUCCCACCUCUGUGGAAUAGUGGGGUGAGAACUACAACAAAGUUCUCAGUGGGUUCGGCCCCAACAUCACCGACUUUUUCACUAGGACUAACUCAGGCAUAAUAGAAAGAAUAAGCUGCAUAUAGUAACCAAUCUAUACAUAAUGCUAAUAUGCCUGAACAAUAAAGCAAGAAAUAUGCUCAACAUUAAACAUAUGCAGAUUAUGCAAGUUCUUUCGUUCUUUGUCUUUACUCUUUGUUCUUUAUUCUUUGUUCUUUACUCUUUGUUCUUUAAUCUCAAGGCUAACCCGGGGGUUUCGCCACUUUAACUUGCUUCACAUUAAGUCCAUCGUCGCAGGAACUGACCCGCUAGGACCGUCCUUCGAGUUUACUCCACCCUGUGAUGCAUAACUCCGGAGCGCAUCGCCCGAGGGGGAGCGACCCCCCUCAAGCACGGAACUCAUAGCAAGUAUGAUCGAAUCCUUAACUCUAAGGAUUAUAAGUUCAAUCUUGUCAUUACACUAACUCUAGUGUUCUUUUCAUCACUUUACGUUGCUAACUUUAGCAAUCAUUGUUCUUUGCAUUUCUUUACUUUUGGCUAACACUAGCAUUCAUGUUCUUUACUCUUUGCACGUUCUUUAUGUCCCACUUUGCUUUAGCUUUAGUCAUUGUCAUCAUUCUUUACAUCACUUUGAUCUUUUGCCUUACACUAACUCUAGUGUCACUUUACUUUACAUUAUCGAAUGCCACUCGAUCUAUGUCAUUGGG
rnacentral:lncRNA from 1 species